rnacentral:lncRNA from 1 species
CCCAGAUACAAAAGUUUGAAAGAUGAAACGAGUACAAAGUUGCACAGCAUCGAGGACCAAAAGAUCAAAAAGGUUGUGCCAAAAACGGCAAGGGUUUUCUGUUAGUUACCAGAAAAUCCCUAUAAUUUAGAAUAAUUUAUACUUUUGCAAACAGUAAAUUUUAUAAAAUGAGUAUUCAAAAGAUGUACAUGAUAAAACUGAAGUAUAUAAUCGUUUCCUUUUCCCUGUAAAUUAUUUAUUUUAGAAUUUUGAUAGUUUGGAUAAAUGUUUACCAUUGUUAUAAAUAAAAUAUGAGAAUUUGAGUCAAAUCGGUGACCAUGAAUUUGACAGCUAGUGCAGUAAGUUCUAAUCAUCAUGCACCUUUUUGUUGAUUUAUCAAAUGGUUUUUAUACAGAUUCUCAAAUACUUUUGUUUGAG